ACCGCGAUAGCUCGACUGAUGGAGCAUCCACCCGGUUUUCGGAGGGUCGCCGGUUCGACUCCGGCUCGCGGCG
rnacentral:tRNA from 1 species